GAAGAUCCUUGCCUACUGGAGGCCUUCUGAUGAUAAGCAGCUUUUUUUCCCUUUGUUUCUGCAUCUGUGGCUGCUGCAUUUGGGCUUGUUCUCAUUUGCUGUGGCCGAAGACUUUGCCACCCUGCUAUUAUUUCUGUACUAACUGUCACAUUAUAGCAUUACAAAUACCUAAUAUAAGCUGGUUGUUUAAAUUGUCAAUGGGUAAUUAUGUGAAUGUUGCCAAAUCCUAAAAGCAAUACGAAUUGCCCAAGGGGCCCUUUACUACUUCUCUUAUAGACUGAACCACAUAGCAGUGAAACUGAUUUUGCUUCAGCAACUGGAUUUUCAGCUUGAGCUGUGGUAGCAUUUGGAGCAGAGUCUGUGCAGAAUAUCAGGUCAAAUCUUAGGAGGACAACAAAAAUAUGAACAGUG
ensembl:lncRNA